GUUUGUCCGUAGCUGAGGGAGAAGCCCAGCGCCUCCUGCCCGCAUGGAAAGGGUGCCGAGAGGAAUCUCCCGUCACAUCUCCCACCUGGGCACCCCGCGGGCCGGCCCUGCCGCCCCAUCAAAAAGCGCUUCCUGCCAAAACCACCUCUCCUGGCAGCGGUUGGAAGGAGAAAGCUGUCUUUUAACAAACUCAGCAAUUUAUGAAGAGGCAUGACUGGUGUUAUCCAAGGAGAUUUUUAAUCUUAAACCCUCCUGUUCUCAAUUAAAAGUAUAGUUGAAGAAAACCCAGCCAGAAACAUUUUCAGACAUACAAGUGCUUUUCCAGAUCUGAGGACCUCUAAGAGCCCAUGCACCCUAAGCAGAAGAAGACAGGUUUAAAUGGAUGUAGUAUGAUAGACCUGGAGUCCUCAUAUGUGCAAUUUCUUCCUUUCCGGGCACGGUUUUCUCUUACUCCAAUCCAUUCUAUAUUGACGUUAAAUAGCCAAGUACUCAACUGUGCACUAAGUCCUGGACUUCAUUAGAAUAUAAGUAUGCAUUGGAAUUCAUUAGAUCUCUACACUAUCCAUUAUUUUCCUCAUGGCAUCAGCAGGCCUCAGACGCAUCUGAUUGGAGCAAUUUGUUAAAUCCAUGGCAAUUGCACUAAUAAGCCGAGUUACACCCAGAACCUCUACAGCGGGAGCAGAUAUAGUCCUUUAUUCUCUAAUUUCCAUCACUUCUCCACAGUAAGUAAACUCUGUGACUUUGCCUUGAACUUAAUGCCUAAAAAAUACCUCUCCAUUCACAGUUUUCUUUUACCACAACACCCCAGACAUCUUCAGUUUCUGAAUAUUGUCAGUGAUGGCAGCCAGAUAUCUAUGACACAGACAACAAAAGCUUUCCAUCUGCACCAGAGGCCUUUGAAGGAGAAAGUAAUGUUCUGGACUCUGUUGGACUGAUUCUGACUGUACGUUGCUCCUGUGAAGACAUCAGAGGCUGCUAAGCACAAAGGGGAUUCAAAAGCCUGUCCUGGUUUAGGGCAAAUGUGGGUGGGAGAAAACCUCCAAAGAGGCUCCUCUAGAAAGCAGAUUCAAGCAGCCCCUCCCCCAAAUGGUUUGGGAAAAUAUUUCCUUGGAGAAAAGUGGAAAAAAACGCUGUUUAUUUAGCAGGCAAAGCAUUCACCAGAAAAAAAAAAAAAAAAAAAUUAAACAAUGAACUCUUGCCAACCAGAAGAGGUGACAAGCUCAGAAAGUCCCCUUGGUGGCUGUAGCUCAGCUCACCCAGUCUCUGAUCAGUCCCUGCAGUGCUGGAAAUGCCACGGCCCAGGCCCGGCCCCGUGGGCCACAGGUGCGAGCUGCCGGUGCUCUGCUGGUGUUCAGUCCAGAGCAGGUUUGAACAGGUCCAAGAAAAA